UGGGGAAUUUUGGGCAAUGGGCGCAAGCCUGAUCCAGCCAUGCCGCGUGCAGGAUGAAGGCCCUCGGGUUGUAAACUGCUUUUGUACGGAACGAAAAGCCUCUUUCUAAUAAAGAGGGGUGAUGACGGUACCGUAAGAAUAAGCACCGGCUAACUACGUGCCAGCAGCCGCGGUAAUACGUAGGGUGCGAGCGUUAAUCGGAAUUACUGGGCGUAAAGCGUGCGCAGGCGGUCUUGCAAGACAGUGGUGAAAUCCCCGGGCUCAACCUGGGAACUGCCAUUGUGACUGCAAGGCUGGAGUACGGCAGAGGGGGAUGGAAUUCCGCGUGUAGCAGUGAAAUGCGUAGAUAUGCGGAGGAACACCGAUGGCGAAGGCAGUCCCCUGGGCCUGUACUGACGCUCAUGCACGAAAGCGUGGGGAGCAAACA
rnacentral:rRNA from 1 species